UAUCUCUGUAGAGUCUGCAUAUCAAUAAGCGGAGGAAAAGAAACUAACAAGGAUUCCCUUAGUAACGGCGAGUGAAGCGGGAAGAGCUCAAAUUUGAAAUCUUCAAUGUUCUACCUUGACGAAUUGUAGUUUAAAGAAGUGUUUUCUGUUGGUGUUUUGGUAAAAGUUCUUUGGAAUAGGACAUCAUAGAGGGUGAGAAUCCCGUAUUUGACCAGUUACUUUCCAGCUGUGUGAUACACUUUCAAAGAGUCGGAUUGUUUGGGAAUGCAGUCCAAAAUGGGUGGUAAAUUUCAUCUAAAGCUAAAUAUUGGCGAGAGACCGAUAGCGAACAAGUACCGUGAGGGAAAGAUGAAAAGAACUUUGAAAAGAGAGUUAAACAGUACGUGAAAUUGUCAAAAGGGAAGCGUUUGACACCAGUGUUGUUUUCUCGAAGAUCAAUUAAGAAUGGCAUGAUUCUGUGUUGUAUUGACCUUAUCAGCUUUCUUCACUCUUUUCGAUGUCUUUUUUAAUGCACUUUUCGGUUAACAAGUCAACAUCAAUUUCUUUUGUUGUAAAAGAGUCAUUCGGAAGGUGGCUUUCUUUUCGGAGAAAGUGUUUAUAGCCCUUAUGCCUCUACAAUCGGAGAGAUUGAGGUCUGCAGCGUAGAUCCUUCGGGGUUAGAUACAUUUGUGCUAAGUUAUAGCCUUUCAUAGACAACUUGUUGACUAUGAUCAGUCAUGUAGCUUACUCGCUUAUGCUAUUUUACCUACGCUUAGGAUGUUGACGAGACUGUCGAUCUC
rnacentral:rRNA from 1 species